rnacentral:rRNA from 1 species
GACGAACGCUGGCGGCGUGCUUAACACAUGCAAGUCGCACGGGGUAGCAAUACCCAGUGGCGAACGGGUGCGUAACACGUGAGGAACAUGACUUCCGGUGGGGGAUAGCCGGCCCAACGGCCGGGUAAUACCGCAUACGCUGCGCGAGGGGCAUCCCUCGUGUCGGAAAGCAGCAAUGCGCCGGAAAGGUGCCUCGCGGCCUAUCAGCUAGUUGGUGAGGUAAUGGCUCACCAAGGCGACGACGGGUAGCUGGUUUGAGAGGAUGAUCAGCCACAUUGGGACUGAGGCACGGCCCAGACUCCUACGGGAGGCAGCAGUGGGGAAUAUUGCGCAAUGGGCGAAAGCCUGACGCAGCGACGCCGCGUGUGGGAUGAAGGCCUUCGGGUUGUAAACCACUGUCGGGAGGGACGAAGCUCUGACGGUACCCCCAAAGGAAGCACCGGCUAACUCUGUGCCAGCCGCCGCGGUAAGAC